AUAAAGAUGUUAAAGGAGUUCCAAUGGUCCCAUCUUGCUCAACUGCUUUCCAAAUACGUGGGGAGCUGUUAAAGUUCAGGACCAGAACUUAAUUCCCAAAUAGCCCAAUUUCUGGUCCACCAGAUUCUUCAAUAAUUCAUGAGGUGAGGUCCUGGUCCCAUGUGUCUUUUAUCUUUUAGCUUGAUCAUGGAAUAUGUUUAGGGUUCUGUUAGGUCUCUUUAGUUGUCCCAAGAGGUUCAACAAUCAACACCCAUGGGGAGGGGGGCCUCUUUUGAUAAGAAUAGCCGUGUCUUGCUACUCUGAUAAGAGCGCUGGUUCCUAGGUUUCACAGGUUCUGCCAUUUAUUUUCUUUGUCGAUUCCUACUUUUAUCUAUAUAUUCUGGUACUCCAUGUGAAGGCCAGGGCAGUUUGACGGGCCAAGGUUUCUCCUAAGGUUAUGUGCUUCGAAAGCUUGCCAUGAUAGUUUCCCCACUAGUUUGAAGCUCACAGAGAAAGGAGUUCAGGUGUCUCCAAUUUGCUUUUUGUGUUGCAUGUUCACUCUUUUUACCUCAUCUAUCGAUUCUAAUUCUGCCUUGCCGAUCAGGCAUGACUCAAGUGGCCCUCGAUCUACGAUAGCGUCAAUUGUGAUAGAUAUCAGCACGAAUAGCUCUAGGAUUCGGAUUGCGGAUUGCCAACUAGAAGAGGCAAAUAACUCUUAAUUGGAUUGCAGAGAAGAGGCGAUUCAUCAUUCAUUCAACAUCACCCUACUAGUUCUACAACCAAGGUUGGUAGGACUGUAGUUGUUUCUGGUUUCUGCAGCCCAAGUGGCUGACCCGAAGGCCCAAACCAGCAAGGCCUGCCCAGCAGAGCAGAUGCAACCAUGUCAGUGACCCACUAAAUUCAAGGCCCAAAAGCACCUUGCCUAGCCUAGAAGGCUGCUAAUGGGCUGACCGCACGGACUACCCAGAAGGCCCAACAACCCUAUAACACACUCUGGGUCCCUCGCUAUCUAGGACCAUGCCAACAACCCAAGUCCAUCUAAGCAGAGCCAGAAGCUCAGGCCCAAGAUGCAUCGGCCAAGCCGCUGACUAUGCCAGCAGUUAAAUGGGCCGAGCAAGGAGCUCGAAGGCCCAAUUCAAGCCCAGCAGGCCCACUAUCUCUAUGGUCUUUCGCGAGUUAUCAAGUGGUCGAGCCCAGUCCACCUUCUAGACCACAUCAAAUAAAAGGCAAAAAUGACUUUGCUAUCUGUGAGAUUCGAACCCAGGCAUAAGCUGUGUGAGACGAACCACAUCCCCACUGCGCUAAUGUUGCACAUUGAAACACGUUAUCAACACUCUAACCAUAUUUUAUAUAUAUUCUGCCAGAAGCAUUCAUUCUAAUUGCAAGAUUUUGUGACAUUUAAAUUAUGAAUUCUUUUUGUGCA